GGUCGCAUAGCUCAGUUGGUAGAGCAUCCGGCUUACAUCCGGAAGGUCCCAGGUUCGAGCCCUGGUGCGACCA
rnacentral:tRNA from 1 species